CCAAAGCUGCAGAAUAUACAUUCUUCGCAAGUGCACAUGGGUAAUUUUCAAAGAUAAACCACAUAUUGGGGCACAGGCAAAGUCUCUAGAUAGAAGAUAGAAACCAUAUCAAUCAUCUUCUCAGAUCACAAUGGCAUAAAACUAGAAAUCAACUACAAUAAAAACAAU